CGCGGUUAUACCAAGUGAUUAAGUUAUACUUUUAGGUAAAAAGAUAGUUAGGUUUAUAAAAUUAGUUUAUUAAACAUCUAUAAAAAAGUAAAAUUUGCAUAUAGAUAGCUAAUCUAAAAAUAACUAAAUAAUAUACUGAAGCUAUGAUAGUCUUGAGGGAAACUGGGAUUAGAUACCCCAUUAUUCUUGAUUGUAAAUAUAAUUAAAUUUACCAGAGUACUAUGAAUAGUUAAAAAUUUAAAACUCAAAGGGCUUGGCGGUGUUUUAGACCUAUCAGGGGAACCUGUCUCAUAAUCGACAAUCCACGCUAUAUCUAACCUCAUUUUGUAAUCAGUUUGUAUACCGUCGUCGUCAGGUAACUUUUAAAAAUAUAGAAGUUAGCAACUAAAAUUUACUGUAAAUUAAGACGUCAGAUCAAGGUGCAGCCUAUGGUGAGGAGAGGAUGGGUUACAAUUAUAAUAAUUAUAAUUACGGAAAUUUAAGUGAAAUUAUUAUUUUGAAGGAGGACUUGAAAGUAAACUAAAAUACAUAAAUAGUUUGAAUAAGGCUCUG
rnacentral:rRNA from 1 species